CAGGGAGAGAGCAUGGGGAGAGCAUGUGAGAAUGAGUGAGGAGAGAAUGUGAGGUGUGUGUGAAGACUGUGUGUGUGUGUGACAGGAGAGUGCAUGUGGUGUGUGUGAGAUAUGUAUGAGGUGUGUAUGAAGAUUGUGUGUGUGCGUGACAGGAGAGUGCAUGUGGUGUGUGUGAGAUGUGUAUGAGGUGUGUAUGAAGAGUGUGUGUGUGCGUGACAGGAGAGUGCAUGUGGUGUGUGUCAGAUAUGUAUGAGGUGUGUGUGAAGACUGUGUGUGUGCGUGACAGGAGAGUGCAUGUGCUGUGUGUGAGAUAUGUGUGAGCUGUGUAUGAAGAUUGUGUGUGUGCGUGACAGGAGAGUGCAUGUGUUGUGUGUGAGAUAUGUAUGAGGUGUGUAUGAAGAGUGUGUGUGUGCGUGACAGGAGAGUGCAUGUGGUGUGUGUGAGAUAUGUAUGAGGUGUGUAUGAAGAGUGUGUGUGUGCGUGACAGGAGAGUGCAUGUGGUGUGUGUGAGAUAUGUGUGAGGUGUGUAUGAAGACUGUGUGUGUGCGUGACAGGAGAGUGCAUGUGGUGUGUGUGAGAUGUGUGAGGUGUGUGUGAAGAGUGUGUGUGUGCGUGACAGGAGAGUGCAUGUGGUGUGUGUGAGAUAUGUAUGAGGUGUGGAUUCAAAAAAUGUGGUACAU
ensembl:lncRNA